rnacentral:rRNA from 1 species
UACGUAGGGUGCGAGCGUUAAUCGGAAUUACUGGGCGUAAAGCGUGCGCAGGCGGUUCUGCAAGUCCGAUGUGAAAUCCCCGGGCUUAACCUGGGAACUGCGUUUGAAACUACGGAGCUAGAGUGCGGCAGAGGGGGGUGGAAUUCCACGUGUAGCAGUGAAAUGCGUAGAUAUGUGGAGGAACACCGAUGGCGAAGGCAGCCCCCUGGGCCGACACUGACGCUCAGGCACGAAAGCGUGGGGAGCAAACAGG